UUUGCUCACCUUUGCUUGUUGCUUCGUUCACAUCAUGUCCAAAAGGUUGGUUGGAUCUGUUCAAAUAAGCUGCUUGUACAUCUUGUUCACAAUAGUAAGCAAACUUUUUAAUUUCUUAACAUCAUGUCCAAAAAGUUACCAAUGAAAUGGAGAAACCAAUUCUAAAAAUUAAAUCCAAAUAAAAGAAAGCAUGAAAUUUCUUCGAUAGCGUCUCGUCAAACUCGAGGUUGCUCCGUCCUAAGCUAAUUUCUCUACAAUGGCAAAGCAGAAGGAAACUUCCACCAUUGAAAUCGAUGAUCAGAAUUCUAAUCCUUCCGAUCAGAUCAGCAUUAACCCUAAGAUCUCCGUUAAUGCAUUGGUUCCAAGUGAAGUGAAAGCUUACUGUUUUCUUGUUGAACAUGUCCUGCAUGAUCUUGUGAUCCAGCCUCAAUCACUGUGGAUUCCUGCAAGAGGUCAAUGAAGCAACAUAAAAUUUAUUCUUAGUGAAAAGGAAAAUGAUCGGUCCACCAUGGCAAAUGUUCGAACAGCAUUAUGGACAAUAAGGUUAGUCAUGUUGCCAAUGAAGUAGGCAGUAAGUCCAAUG